rnacentral:lncRNA from 1 species
GACUUUGUCGAUUUAUUAGAGGACGUAGAUACUAAUUAGCAAUAAAACGAUCUUGAUCGUGAAGAGAUGGUCAAAAUGAUUGCUGGGUAGCUGAAAUGAGAAAUGAUGACUUUCACAUGUUUUCAGCCUUCAUCAUGGCUCUGGAUGUCGUUGAGAUGAGUGGCUCAUAUUUUUCCUACGAAUGUGUAAAUGCUUGUAAAUCUUUUAAUUAUUAGUAUAAGUAUUACUUGAAUGAUUUUUGCUGAAGGUGAUCAAAUAGAAUAAAUGUAUAAUUUUAGGAUAA